AAUCUACCUAGUAGAAGGGGAUAGCCCGGGGAAACCCGGAUUAAUACCGUAUACCUCCUUCGGGAGAAAGAAGGCCUCUCUUUGAAGCUUUCGCUAUUAGAUGAGCCUGCGUAAGAUUAGCUUGUUGGUGAGGUAAAGGCUCACCAAGGCGACGACCUUUAGCUGGUCUGAGAGGACGAUCAGCCACAUUGGGACUGAGACACGGCCCAGACUCCUACGGGAGGCAGCAGUGGGGAAUAUUGGACAAUGGGCGCAAGCCUGAUCCAGCCAUACCGCGUGUGUGAAGAAGGCCUUCGGGUUGUAAAGCACUUUAAGCAGGGAGAAAAAGUUAUAAGUUAAUACCUUAUAACCGUGAUGUUACCUGCAGAAUAAGCACCGGCUAAUUCCGUGCCAGCAGCCGCGGUAAUACGGAAGGUGCAAGCGU
rnacentral:rRNA from 1 species